rnacentral:lncRNA from 1 species
GUCCGUUUUUGUCCAUCCCUGCCUCCAAUUAAAGCAACAAACUUGCAGCUUGGAGAGAAUUAUGACGACACCAAAGGAGUCAUGUAACUUGCAGGUGGUGGGAAAAUGGAACCCUUGGAAUGUGAGCGGGGAAGGCCCUGCUCUCUGAUAGAUAGAGGAGGGGUUUGGACAGAGGCUGUCUUAGAGAGCAGUCAGAGAAAAGCCAUUGCAGAAGAAAGUUGCGUAAGAAAUUCCUCGAAAAGUCAGUCAGAAGUUACAUCGCUCCGCGAUUUGGACCUGAGCCCCGAAUCUGUCCGACAGCAUCUGAUCAUUUGUUAUAUAUAGUGCCCCAUUGUUGUGCUUUUGUGUGUGAAUUGAAGAAGAAAAAGGAGAAUCGAUCACGUCAAAUUGUUAUUUAUCGCCCAAAUAUAAACUAGAGACUAUGCCAAACUGAUAAGGACUAGAGAAUGAAAGUGCUAAUGACAGAAAACAAAGAGAAAAAGAAAAGGAAGAGUUAUUGAAAUCAUCAAGCUUCAAAUUAUACAUUAAAUAUCUAGUAGUAAGGUAUUUAUCCCAAUCGGAGGCGUUGAACCUCUCUCAUGUAAACUAAAUCUCUCUCUCAAUAAAGAUCCUUGGUAUUGUUAACCGUAGUAGUCUCUUUGUCAUUCUGGAAUUGUUUCACUUUGCCACUCUUACUUUCAUAUGCCGAACUGCUUAACCGCAGUAGAUCAACUUUUGUUAGUGGUUGUUAACCAAAUUGUCCACACAAUCAGUAGACUCCACAUUUACUCAUGGUAUCAGAUGAGUCUUAGCGAUAUCAAAUUACAAUAUAAACUAUCUUUAUUAGUUG